rnacentral:rRNA from 1 species
CAAUAGCGUAUAUUAAAGUUGUUGCGGUUAAAAAGCUCGUAGUUGGAUUUCUGCCGAGGACGACCGGUCCGCCCUCUGGGUGAGCAUCUGGAUCGGCCUGGGCAUCUUCUUGGGGAACGUGUCUGCACUUGACUGUGUGGUGCGGUAUCCAGGACUUUUACUUUGAGGAAAUUAGAGUGUUUCAAGCAGGCGCACGCCUUGAAUACAUUAGCAUGGAAUAAUAAUCUAGGACUUCGGUUCUAUUUUGUUGGUUUCUAGUACUGAAGUAAUGAUUGAUAGGGAUAGUUGGGGGUGGCUAGUAUUGGCCGGCCAGAGGUGAAAUUCUUGGAUUCGGUCAAGACUAACUUAUGCGAAAGCAUUCACCAAGGAUGUCUUCUUUAAUCAAGAACGAAAGUUGGGGGAUCGAAGAUGAUUAGAUACCAU